UCCCUGGUAGCUCAGUUGGUAAAGAAUCUGCCUGCAAUGCAGGAGACCCGGGUUCAUUUCCUGGGUUGGGAA
rfam:TPA: Bos taurus chromosome 3, whole genome shotgun sequence.